CGCAGCAAAGAGGGGGACCUUCGGGCCUCUCGCGUCAGGAUUAGCCCAGGUGGGAUUAGCUUGUUGGUGGGGUAAUGGCUCACCAAGGCAACGAUCCCUAGCUGGUCUGAGAGGAUGAUCAGCCACACUGGAACUGAGACACGGUCCAGACUCCUACGGGAGGCAGCAGUGGGGAAUAUUGCACAAUGGGGGAAACCCUGAUGCAGCCAUGCCGCGUGUAUGAAGAAGGCCUUCGGGUUGUAAAGUACUUUCAGUUGUGAGGAAGGCAGUAAAGUUAAUAGCUUUGCUGUUUGACGUUAGCAACAGAAGAAGCACCGGCUAACUCCGUGCCAGCAGCCGCGGUAAUACGGAGGGUGCGAGCGUUAAUCGGAAUUACUGGGCGUAAAGCGCAUGCAGGUGGUCUGUUAAGCAAGAUGUGAAAGCCCGGGGCUCAACCUCGGAACAGCAUUUUGAACUGGCAGACUAGAGUACUGUAGAGGGGGGUAGAAUUUCAGGUGUAGCGGUGAAAUGCGUAGAGAUCUGAAGGAAUAUCGGUGGCGAAAGGCGGCCCCCCUGGGACAGAUACUGACACUCAGAUGCGAAAGCGUGGGGAGCAAACAGGAUUUAGAUACCCUGGUAAUUCCACGCCCGUAAAACGAUGUCUAC
rnacentral:rRNA from 2 species